UACGAAGGGGGGCUAGCGUUGCUCGGAAUCACUGGGCGUAAAGCGCACGUAGGCGGAUUGCUAAGUCAGGGGUGAAAUCCUGGAGCUCAACUCCAGAACUGCCUUUGAUACUGGCAACCUAGAGACUGGAAGAGGUUAGUGGAAUUCCCAGUGUAGAGGUGAAAUUCGUAGAUAUUGGGAAGAACACCAGUGGCGAAGGCGGCUAACUGGUCCAGCACUGACGCUGAGGUGCGAAAGCGUGGGGAGCAAACAGG
rnacentral:rRNA from 1 species